UACGUAGGGUGCAAGCGUUAAUCGGAAUUACUGGGCGUAAAGCGUGCGCAGGCGGUUUCGUAAGUCUGUCGUGAAAUCCCCGGGCUCAACCUGGGAAUGGCGAUGGAGACUGCGAGGCUAGAGUUUGGCAGAGGGGGGUAGAAUUCCACGUGUAGCAGUGAAAUGCGUAGAGAUGUGGAGGAACACCGAUGGCGAAGGCAGCCCCCUGGGUCAAAACUGACGCUCAUGCACGAAAGCGUGGGGAGCAAACAGG
rnacentral:rRNA from 1 species